rnacentral:rRNA from 1 species
GAUGAACGCUGGCGGCGUGCCUAAUACAUGCGAGUCGAGCGAACGGACGAGAAGCUUGCUUCUCUGAUGUUAGCGGCGGACGGGCGAGUAACACGUGGAUAACCUACCUAUAAGACUGGGAUAACUUCGGGAAACCGGAGCUAAUACCGGAUAAUAUUUUGAACCGCAUGGUUCAAAAGUGAAAGACGGUCUUGCUGUCACUUAUAGAUGGAUCCGCGCUGCAUUAGCUAGUUGGUAAGGUAACGGCUUACCAAGGCAACGAUGCAUAGCCGACCUGAGAGGGUGAUCGGCCACACUGGAACUGAGACACGGUCCAGACUCCUACGGGAGGCAGCAGUAGGGAAUCUUCCGCAAUGGGCGAAAGCCUGACGGAGCAACGCCGCGUGAGUGAUGAAGGUCUUCGGAUCGUAAAACUCUGUUAUUAGGGAAGAACAUAUGUGUAAGUAACUGUGCACAUCUUGACGGUACCUAAUCAGAAAGCCACGGCUAACUACGUG